GACGAGGUAAAAGUGGGAGAGGCGGGACAGGCUAUAGUCAUGGCAAUAUUCAAGGACGUGGCAAUUCUGUAGCGGCGUCUCAGCCACACAUACAUCCAAUAGGGACUACAAAGGCAUCUCUAGAGACGGGACAAUCAUGUAACCCGAGUCAAGGACCUGAUUGUGCAUAAAUACUAAAAUUAGUGGUGAUGGUAUAUGUUUUUUUACUUUGCAGUUUCUUGCAACAAUAAAAAGAGAGGAAGAGGAAAAUACAAAUCUAAAAGUAUAGAUGUAAAAACUAAGUGUGGUGGCAAAAUUAAAAUUAUGAUUCCAGAUGACAUUGAUAGAGCAGUAGGUUCUGGGGCUAGAGAUAUUGUUAAUUACUGUGGUUUGAUCAUGAGGAGCACUAUAUCGUUCUGAGAUGGGAAUUGGCAAAAGAUUAUUUUGAAACAUGGAGAAGAAAUGUGGUUGAAGAUCAAGGAUAAAUUUGAAGUUUCCAACGGGCUGCGAGAGCAUAGAUUUCAAGCCUUUGUGAUCAGCACUAUGCAAAGGCCUUUUAGAGUAUGGAAAGCUCGACUCAGCAUUCAGUAAUCUAAUUACAGUACUAAUGAAGAAAGAUUAUCUCAUCGACCUAAAGAUGUUGAGCUCGAGGACUGAAAAUACCUAAUACAAUAUUUUGGAAGUCUGGAGUUUAAGGCUAUAAGUGAGAGGAACAAAAAAAAUAGGGAAAAGCAAAUCACUAGGCAUGCUUGUGGUACAAGAUCUUUUGCAGAAGUAGAGG